rnacentral:rRNA from 1 species
GAUGAACGCUGGCGGCGUGCCUAAUACAUGCAAGUCGAGCGAACAGAUGAGGAGCUUGCUCCUCUGACGUUAGCGGCGGACGGGUGAGUCACACGUGGAUAACCUACCUAUAAGACUGGGAUAACUUCGGGAAACCGGAGCUAAUACCGGAUAAUAUAUUGAACCGCGUGGGUCAAUAGUGAGAGACGGUUUUGCUGUCACUUAUAGAUGGAUACGGGCCGCAUUAGCUAGUUGGUAAGGUAACGGCUUACCAAGGGAACGAUGCGUGGCCGACCUGAGAGGGUGAUAGGCCACAUUGGAACUGAGACACCGUCCAGACUCCUACGGGAGGCAGCAGUAGGGAAUCUGCCGCAAUGGGCGAAAGCCUGACGGAGCAACGCCGCGUGAGUGAUGAAGGUCUUCGGAUCGUAAAACUCUGUUAUUAGUGAAGAACAAAUGUGUAAGGAACUAUGCACGUCUUGACGGUACUUAAUCAGAAAGCAACGGCUAACUACGUG